GAGACUCGAGCAGAGCACUGGUCACAAUGAUUCUCCUGAACCUGUCCCUGGCAGUUCUGUCUGCAUGCGUGCUGGGUAUUUGGACUAAAGGACACGAUGUAAGCUGUGGUGUUGGACAAACUGAGAUAAAUGGAAGGUGCUGUAAAUUGUGUCCUCCAGGUACUUAUAUGGAGGAGUUCUGCUCGAAGGACCACCAAACUAAGUGCAGCCCCUGCAAGGAGGGAUAUUUCUCUGAUAAAGAACACAUUUUUGACAGAUGCAAGCCUUGCCGGUCAUGCCCACAAGAAUAUGCUGUGAAAUGUACGCCGACCACAAACGCAAAUUGUUCUUGUCGCCCUGGUUUCCUGUGCUCCAACAGCAUCUGUUCACUUUGUGAGGAAAACAAAUGUGUCAUAGGGGACAGGCCGAAGAGGACAGUUGUCUCCACUAAAGCAGAGGUAAGAGAAUACGCCUAUCAGUGUGAGCCUAGAUGCCCUCACAAAGAAUACUUUAAAGAGAAGGAGAACAUCUGCAAGCCAUGGACACAGUAA
rnacentral:lncRNA from 1 species